GGGCUGGCUUCGAAUAACGUAUAUUUCUAAAUGAAAUAGCUUACCUUAUUGUCCAAUUUUAAGACUCUUUUUUAAUGCCUUGCGCCUGCUUUUAUAAAAUCUCAUCCUUACUGGCCGCCUGCUGGUCUAAGCUUUAUUUUAUAUCUAUCUCUAGCUUUCUUACUUACUUUAUCACAGCACAGGUAAUCUCUGACCAUCACA
rnacentral:misc_RNA from 1 species